rnacentral:rRNA from 1 species
GACGAACGCUGGCGGCGUGCCUAAUACAUGCAAGUCGAGCGGAGUUGUUCCUUCGGGGACAGCUUAGCGGCGGACGGGUGAGUAACACGUAGGCAACCUGCCUGUAAGCCUGGGAUAACGUCCGGAAACGGAUGCUAAUACCGGAUAAGUUGGUUCUCCGCAUGGAGAGCCAUGGAAAGACGGCGCAAGCUGUCGCUUACGGAUGGGACUGCGGCGCAUUAGCUAGUUGGUGGGGUAACGGCUCACCAAGGCGACGAUGCGUAGCCGACCUGAGAGGGUAAUCGGCCACACUGGGACUGAGACACGGCCCAGACUCCUACGGGAGGCAGUAGUAGGGAAUCUUCGGCAAUGGACGAAAGUCUGACCGAGCAACGCCGCGUGAGUGAAGAAGGCCUUCGGGUCGUAAAACUCUGUUGCCAGAGAAGAACGUCCUGUGGAGUAACUGCCACAGGAGUGACGGUAUCUGAGAAGAAAGCCCCGGCUAACUACGUGCCAGCCGCCGCAGUAAUAC